AACACAUGCAAGUCGAGCGAACUUCUUCGGAAGUGAGCGGCGGACGGGUGAGUAACGCGUGGGUAACCUACCCUAUACACACGGAUAACGUACCGAAAGGUACGCUAAUACGAGAUAACAUAUUUUUAUCGCAUGAUAAGAAUAUCAAAGCUCCGGCGGUAUAGGAUGGACCCGCGUCUGAUUAGCUAGUUGGUAAGGUAACGGCUUACCAAGGCGACGAUCAGUAGCCGACCUGAGAGGGUGAUCGGCCACAUUGGAACUGAGACACGGUCCAAACUCCUACGGGAGGCAGCAGUGGGGAAUAUUGCACAAUGGGCGAAAGCCUGAUGCAGCAACGCCGCGUGAGCGAUGAAGGCCUUCGGGUCGUAAAGCUCUGUCCUCAAGGAAGAUAAUGACGGUACUUGAGGAGGAAGCCCCGGCUAACUACGUGCCAGCAGCCGCGGUAAUACGUAGGGGGCUAGCGUUAUCCGGAAUUACUGGGCGUAAAGGGUGCGUAGGUGGUUUCUUAAGUCAGAGGUGAAAGGCUACGGCUCAACCGUAGUAAGCCUUUGAAACUGAGAAACUUGAGUGCAGGAGAGGAGAGUAGAAUUCCUAGUGUAGCGGUGAAAUGCGUAGAUAUUAGGAGGAAUACCAGUUGCGAAGGCGGCUCUCUGGACUGUAACUGACACUGAGGCACGAAAGCGUGGGGAGCAAACAGGAUUAGAUACCCUGGUAGUCCACGCCGUAAACGAUGAGUACUAGCUGUCGGAGGUUACCCCCUUCGGUGGCGCAGCUAACGCAUUAAGUACUCCGCCUGGGAAGUACGCUCGCAAGAGUG
rnacentral:rRNA from 1 species